AAGUCGUAACAAGGUUUCCGUAGGUGAACCUGCGGAAGGAUCAUUAACACGUAUCCAACGUUAAACAACCCCGUGAACCUUCAGCCUGCUCUCGUAGCCCACGCGGCAACAGCAAUCCCGGUAAAUCAUUGACGACCAGUUUUGAUUCGGGACCUCUGUUACGAUGUGAGAAGUUACAGUUACGAUCGAGCGGUAGAGUCAGUGGCAUGGCGUCCCCAAGCAGAAUCCAGAGAAUGAAAGGAUCACUGGCUGCGCAAGGAUAACGCCUCACGGUUGCUAGAGGCCCUUACCUCACCCCACUACUAAUGACUAGCUUAGCGGUAACGCGCUGAGUAAAAAAAAACCGAACAACUGUUAACAAUGGAUAUCUUGGUUCUC
rnacentral:misc_RNA from 1 species